rnacentral:rRNA from 1 species
GACGAACGCUGGCGGCGUGCUUAACACAUGCAAGUCGAACGGAAAGGCCCUGCUUUUGUGGGGUGCUCGAGUGGCGAACGGGUGAGUAACACGUGAGUAACCUGCCCUUGACUUUGGGAUAACUUCAGGAAACUGGGGCUAAUACCGGAUAGGAGCUCCUGCUGCAUGGUGGGGGUUGGAAAGUUUCGGCGGUUGGGGAUGGACUCGCGGCUUAUCAGCUUGUUGGUGGGGUAGUGGCUUACCAAGGCUUUGACGGGUAGCCGGCCUGAGAGGGUGACCGGCCACAUUGGGACUUAGAUACGGGCCAGGCUCCUACGGGAGGCAGCAGGUGGGAAUAUUGCACAAUGAGCGGAAGCCUGAUGCAGCAACGCCGCGUGCGGGAUGACGGCCUUCGGGUUGUAAACCGCUUUCGCCUGUGACGAAGCGUGAGUGACGGUAAUGGGUAAAGAAGCACCGGCUAACUACGUG